UUUGGUUUUUCCUUUCUAUUUUAUGAUACUUUAGAAGAAGGUGACACUUAGUAUUCUCAUUUAGAGUGUGUUUGGUUGUAAGGAGAAAUAAAGAAAGGAGUAAAAAAAAGUAUGAGAAGAGAGAAAUAAAGUUAACAACCGAUAUGUGUUCAAACAAACAUUGUGAUUAUUUAUAACGGCCAAUUUGUGGUAACGGGUACUACGGCGAUUAGACAAGUAAUGGUUUACGGCGAUUACUGUGAGGUGUAACGGUGACUACAACGAGGUGUAACAGCGAGUACAACAAAAUGUAACAGCAAUUGGCGAUCAGAUCUUGUGAUUACUGCGAUCUUGGGCGGAGAUCUAUGUCUUAAUUUUGGGGGAUUUAUCAGAUUUUUCUCAACUUCUCUCCUAAGGAUUUUGAACAACCAAUUUCCUUGGUGAGUGUUUUGGUAUUUGAUGUGAUUAGACCUUAAUCUGCAUCUCUUGAAUUUUUGAUUUGGGGCUUACGGUUUCUUUCUUUCUUUCUUUCUUUCUUUCUACUUUUGUCUUAUAAUGUUGCCUGAAUUCAAUGAGGUUGGCUCUGGUUAUGGUUGUCUGUAAGAAUCAUUAGAAUUGGCUGAUUGUGUUUUGUAUAACUGCUUCAGAUCCUCCUUGAGUUUGGUAGAGGGUAUCUCGCUAAUUCAUACGUAUGUGGGAAACAACGUGAUUGUUAUUGCUUGAGCUGGCUAUGCAUCACUGGUUUUUACAUGCGUGGUUAAAUGAAAUAGUAGCUGUUGAAGUAACAAUGCCGAUUUACAAGAAAGGAGGGUUUGAAUUGUAAAUGUGCCUUUUAAAAAUUCCUGUUAAAACUUAAGAAAAUAACUCAAGAAUGAUCUUGGUUAUGAAAAGAGAAAACGGAGAACGUUCUUGGUUUAUGUUAUAAAACUGAGAACGUUCUUAGAUUAGCAGAAAAUCAGUUUCUAUUUUAUCUUAAUUGAUCAAUGCAGUAUAAUAAAGAAAGAGAUAGGAAAGAGAAUACCACACAAAGAUUUAUCCUGGUUCAUCCAACGUGGGUUACGUCCAGUCCUCACACUGUGAGAUUUUCCACUAAGUGUUUAAAACGAAGAGCCUUCUUAAUCUUACAACACCUAGAAUAGAUCAACCUUAAUCUAUUUCCACCUUAAUUACUUUCCACCCAGAAAGCAAUUACAACACCUAUCUAACCUUGAUAGGAAGCAAUCUUAAACAAACUAUAAAGAAACUCUUAUAGUUUGAGUUUUUACAAAUGAUUGAAUUUGACAGAAUCUGAUAUUGCUCAACUCUUGUUUGAGAAUAGAUUCUUUACAGAGUAUCUAAUGACAAUUUCGCAG
rnacentral:lncRNA from 1 species